rnacentral:rRNA from 1 species
AGACCCGAAACCCGGUGAUCUAGCCAUGGGCAGGUUGAAGGUUGGGUAACACUAACUGGAGGACCGAACCGACUAAUGUUGAAAAAUUAGCGGAUGACCUGUGGCUGGGGGUGAAAGGCCAAUCAAACCGGGAGAUAGCUGGUUCUCCCCGAAAGCUAUUUAGGUAGCGCCUCGUGAAUUCAUCUCCGGGGGUAGAGCACUGUUUCGGCUAGGGGGCCAUCCCGGCUUACCAACCCGAUGCAAACUGCGAAUACCGGAGAAUGUUAUCACGGGAGACACACGGCGGGUGCUAACGUCCGUCGUGAAGAGGGAAACAACCCAGACCGCCAGCUAAGGUCCCAAAGUCAUGGUUAAGUGGGAAACGAUGUGGGAAGGCCCAGACAGCCAGGAUGUUGGCUUAGAAGCAGCCAUCAUUUAAAGAAAGCGUAAUAGCUCACUGGUCGAGUCGGCCUGCGCGGAAGAUGUAACGGGGCUAAACCAUGCACCGAAGCUGCGGCAGCGAACGUAUCACUUAAAGCGAUUCAGCGGGUUACGAUUGACGGAGCGAAGCGACGUCAAAGCGUAUACAAAGUCGAGUCGGUUUAAGGAUACGUUCGUUGGGUAGGGGAGCGUUCUGUAAGCCUGUGAAGGUGUGUCGUGAGGCAUGCUGGAGGUAUCAGAAGUGCGAAUGCUGACAUAAGUAACGAUAAAGCGGGUGAAAAGCCCGCUCGCCGGAAGACCAAGGGUUCCUGUCCAACGUUAAUCGGGGCAGGGUGAGUCGACCCCUAAGGCGAGGCCGAAAGGCGUAGUCGAUGGGAAACGGGUUAAUAUUCCCGUACUUGGUGUUACUGCGAAGGGGGGACGGAGAAGGCUAUGUUGGCCGGGCGACGGUUGUCCCGGUUUAAGCGUGUAGGCUGGUUUUCCAGGCAAAUCCGGAAAAUCAAGGCUGAGGCGUGAUGACGAGGCACUACGGUGCUGAAGCAAC